rnacentral:precursor_RNA from 12 species
GGUAUCCAUCAUCAUUUGCUGGGCAUCUGCUGAGUACCGCCAUGUCUGUUGGGCGUCCACUAUCUCCCACCAGGCAUUGUGGUCUCUGCUGAUGCUCUGCCAUUUCACCACCAUGAGAA